rnacentral:rRNA from 1 species
AAUCAACGCUGGCGGCGUGCCUCAGACAUGCAAGUCGAACGAUUAAGACUUCCUUCGGGAAGUGCAUAAAGUGGCGCACGGGUGAGUAACACGUAAGUAAUCUACCCUCGAGUGGGGAAUAACGUUCGGAAACGGACGCUAAUACCGCAUAAUGCAGCGGCAUCGCAAGAUGACAGUUGUUAAAGGAGUAAUUCGCUUGAGGAGGAGCUUGCGGCAGAUUAGCUAGUUGGUAAGGUAACGGCUUACCAAGGCUACGAUCUGUAUCCGGUCUAAGAGGACGGUCGGACACACUGACACUGAAUGACGGGUCAGACUCCUACGGGAGGCAGCAGUCGGGAAUUUUGGGCAAUGGGCGAAAGCCUGACCCAGCAACGCCGCGUGAAGGAUGAAGUAUUUCGGUAUGUAAACUUCGAAAGAAUGGGAAGAAUAAAUGACGGUACCAUUUAUAAGCUCCGGCUAACUACGUGCCAGCCGCCGCAGUAAGAC